rnacentral:rRNA from 1 species
UCUGAGGCAUACCACCCUGAAAGCAUUCAAUCUUGUCUGAUCUCAAAAGCUAAGCAGGGUUGGGCCUGGUUAGUACUCGGAUGGAAGAAAAUCUUCAGAAAAGACUGCUCAGAG